rnacentral:rRNA from 1 species
GGGGAAUAUUGGACAAUGGGGGCAACCCUGAUCCAGCCAUGCCGCGUGAGUGAUGAAGGCCUUAGGGUUGUAAAGCUCUUUUGUCCGGGAAGAUAAUGACUGUACCGGAAGAAUAAGCCCCGGCUAACUUCGUGCCAGCAGCCGCGGUAAUACGAAGGGGGCUAGCGUUGUUCGGAAUCACUGGGCGUAAAGCGCACGUAGGCGGAUCGUUAAGUCAGAGGUGAAAUCCCGGAGCUCAACUUCGGAACUGCCUUUGAUACUGGCGAGCUCGAGUCUGGAAGAGGUUAGUGGAACUGCGAGUGUAGAGGUGAAAUUCGUAGAUAUUCGCAAGAACACCAGUGGCGAAGGCGGCUAACUGGGCCAGUACUGACGCUGAGGUGCGAAAGCGUGGGGAGCAAAC